rnacentral:rRNA from 1 species
UACGAAGGGUGCAAACGUUGCUCGGAAUUAUUGGGCGUAAAGCGCACGUAGGCGGCAUUGCAAGUCGGAUGUGAAAUCCCUCGGCUUAACCAAGGAAGUGCAUCCGAAACUGCAGUGCUUGAGUACUUAAGAGGAUCGCGGAAUUCCCGGUGUAGAGGUGAAAUGUGUAGAGAUCGGGAGGAACACCGGUGGCGAAGGCGGGUCUCUGGGCAAUUCCUGACGCUGAGGCGCGAAAGCGUGGGGAGCAAACGGG